AUUGAACGCUGGCGGCAGGCCUAACAUAUGCAAGUCGAGCGGAUGAGAAGAGCUCGCUUUUCGACACAGCCGCGGACGGGUGAGUAAUGCCUAGGAAUCUGCCUGGUAGUGGGGGACAACGUCGCGAAGGGCGCGCUAAUACCGCACACGUGCUACGGGAGAAAGCAGGGGACCUUCGGGCCUUGCGCUAUCAUAUGAGCGUAGGUCGGAUUAGCUAGUUGGUGAGGUAAUGGCUCACCAAGGCGACGAUCCGUAACUGGUCUGAGAGGAUGAUCAGUCACACUGGAACUGAGACACGGUCCAGACUCCUACGGGAGGCAGCAGUGGGGAAUAUUGGACAAUGGGCGAAAGCCUGAUCCAGCCAUGCCGCGUGUGUGAAGAAGGUCUUCGGAUUGUAAAGCACUUUAAGUUGGGAGGAAGGGCAGUAAGUUAAUACCUUGCUGUUUUGACGUUACCGACAGAAUAAGCACCGGCUAACUCUGUGCCAGCCGCCGCGGUAACAC
rnacentral:rRNA from 1 species